CGACCAGACGGGCUUGCAGGUUCUCCUAAAGCCGGUGUCGCAGGUUCGAAUCCUGCCGGGGGCGCCA
rnacentral:tRNA from 1 species